UGGCGAUCCUUCAAAUCAAUCUUGACGAAGCCGUGCGUGCCAUGCGUCGUGCAUAAGUGUUCCUCCUGCGUCUCCUUGGAUGUUGCCGGGUCUCCUGGAAAUUCAUCCACAGCUGGAAACCAAAAUUGUGCUUCAUCCCAGACCACAGCUUAUCUCCACAUCAAAGCCUCAUAUCACCAUUACAUCUCCAGUCUCACUCACGUUCGCUCUGAACAGAAAAAAAAAAAAACGGUUGCUGCACUUCACAAGGCAAGAAUCCAUCUCAUCAUUUUCUCCUGGGGGGGGGGGGGGGGGUAUUCUGUAAGAGUACACCUAGUGGGCUGUCCAUUUCGGCCACUGCUGAUUGGAUUCAGCUCUGUGAGAGGAGGAGACGAGCAGCCCUAGCCAAUCAGUAGCGGCCGAAAUGGACAGUCCACUAGGUGGGCUCUUACAGAAUACUCCUCCCCACCCCCCACCCCCCUGCUCACCACAUCUUGCCUGCUGCUUUCUCUUGUCAUGUAUGACUUUGCACAUACUUUUCGUUCAUGUUCUCCUUUCUGCUUUGGCACUACACCUAUGCUUCCUUCUUUUUUUUUUUUUUUUUGUUCAAGCAAUAGCUCUUCAUUGCCAUUGCUAUUUUCUCGGCCUUCGCGUAUUCUAUUGCAGUCACUAGCAUCAUACUUACUAAUCAGUGCGGAAGCAAUGGAAGACACACGGAAGGGCACUGGACGAGUGCUGUCUAAUAACUGAAAUUUAUUGAACACUAGCAUCAAAUGUCUCUUACCUUUUGUUGCUCCAUAUAACUUGCUAGAAAUGCAAUAGAAAUUUUCAUCAUAGGGCAUUCAGUCUUGGAGCAUACUGAAAUUAUAGCUAUUUGCUUUGUGAUGAAGUAUUGCUUUAGUAAAAAACAACUAAUUAACUUGGCAAGUUGUUUCCAAAGGCUACAUCCUUUGCAUGUCCAAAUGUCCACACCUUGCAAGUUCCUAAAGAACUUCACAGCUUCAAAGGCUUUUGUUUCAUAAUUUUGCAGCUUAAUUUAGCAUUUUACCCCCGUUGUUCAUCUCAUUAUUGUGGUUGUUGUGUGACAGUACCGAACUUAGACCUUAGCAUGAAGCAAUGCUUAAAAACCGUUGUGCUCUUACACGCUUUAUCAAAUCACUGCUUUGUUUUAAUGUUACUGGUGCUGUGGCUUUGGUGUUGGCUGCUAAGCCCAAGGCCGUGCGAUCAAAUCCAAGCCCCUGCGGCCACAUUUCGAUCGGGGCAAAAUGCAAAAAAUGCUGUGCGCCUUGCAUUGGGUGCAUGUUAAACCCAGGUAGUCAGAAUUAAUCCAGAGUUUCUCAUUAUUGCAUCCCUCAUCAUCAUUUAGUGAUUUUGGCAUGUAAAACCACUGAACUUAAUUUUUAAGUAUUGUCUUUGCCCAGUACAAAUCUGGAUUUUGGAUGUCACUGCAAAUGUAACCAAUACACAAAUUUAAAUACUUUGUCAUCUAAAGAAAAAUGGGACACUAUAAAAUGCAGUAAUCACCAUUAUGUGCCUUGCAUCCAGAACAAUAUCAGCACGCUAGGAAGCACCAUCGCCAUUGCCUGUUGCUUGACGACUCCAUUACACCUCGCCACAGUCAAACAGAACAGCUUUCACCUCCAACUUUUGUCCACUCUCCUUUGCCUGUUGUCUAAUCAUCUCGCCAAAUUCUAUGGUUGCUAUCCUGUUCUCCAGCUGUGAAUCGUGGUUGAACCACUUCAAACGUCUGUCGACUUGUUUAUCUGACACAGUGAAGUAAAAGUGUACUUACUCACUGUGAAGUAAAAAUGCACUGCAGUGAUGUUGCAGUGAUACUCUUGCCAGAAUAACCUACUUUUCAUGAAACCAGAGUAGUAGUCAGAAGACUGGCAUUUAUGCCAGCUGCAUUGCCAAGCUCCUGCACAAGAGCAGAGCUUAGCAUCUGAGCAUUCGCAUCAUUCUGAGUAUUCUUGCAUAUCAUUUUCGCUUGUUAAACCUUGCUACAAGACAUUAAUUUUCAGCAGCCAAGCCUGACAGCUUUGGUCAAUCUUUCGUGCUCUGAGCUGGUUUGAUGCAAUACUUUUAACGGAAUUUCUUUAUUGCUGUUUAUUAUGUGGUCAGUGACAGGAUUUUUUUUUAUGCAAGAAUGUUAAAUGGUUCCUUCAGUGAAAAAGCCGGCAGCACCUGUAGCAGCAAAACGGUGCCUAAUUUCCCGUUGACUGUGACGCCAUGUGAGCACACGAGGCGCGCUCAUGACACUAGCUUGCAUUUGCUGGCUCGUGUCUCAGCAGAGGAAAGCGAGUGAAGGGGAACAUCUGCUGCUGCGCUACUUCGCGAGGGGAGAGUGCAUUGCUACGACAAAACAUCACCUUCCCUCUCGCAAGCCUGUGUUACCACCUGUUCCUUGUCUACUCAAGCUCUUGUGUGUGUUCUAACUGCGCCUCGGUGAGGCUAAGCUAAAUCAAUAUGUGCCAAGCGUCUUAACGUGCCCGCUUGCCCGCGAGGAGUUCAUAACUCGGACUGCUCAGUGGCGUUCAGUUGGACAUUAAAGUAUUCACAACUCAUAAGAAGUGCUUAGGUAUCCUCGGAUUUUCUUCGUACUUAAUGCACAAACUUCGAAGUCAUUUUUCCUGGCGAAAUGAGUUAAAUAUCAUCGUCCUUUGUCUGCUGUCCGGCCUUUGUGUGAGCCUUAUACAUCUUCGCAGCCACUCCUGUCAUGCACAGUAAUUUGUGUACUUGUGCUUGUAUCUUUAAUGGCAUAUGAUUAAUUAAUGCAUUUUAUUUGCAUGAUCCAACUAAACAUGAUCUCAAAAAGCUUCACUUGACUGCUCACUUGUCCCUGUGGCUACAUUGUGUGGAUGUACUAUCAGCGUCAAAUGAAACGCAAACAGCAGAGUGCAUGCCUGUAGCAUCACUGAAUGUAUAGUGCACACACUUGGCCAAUCAUCACCCUCACAGGCGUGCACAUCUGGUUUCACAACACUGUGCAAUGAUGCCCUAUACUGAGAUAUUUUUCUUUCUGUUUUGCUUCUUGCUUUCUUAGAUUUUUGGUUUUUUUUUUGCUUUGAAAUAAAAGGAAAGCAUAACAGAAAGAAAAUUUGACUGCAUUCAAUGUGUUAGAAAACGUUCACUUCAAUAUUUUUUUCUCACACUUCAAUCAAAAGCAGUGUGGCAACACUGAGUCUUGAUGAAAUGAAUUGGCACCCUCGGAAACUGUUCCCACUGGUAAUCGAAGCUGAUCUUGAAGGCCAUGCUUUUGUCUAUUGGAAAAACUGGAACUGAUUUCAGGAGCUGGGAAAUACGUUAUGGCCCUCAUUCAUUGUUUUGCUUUUGCAUCUUGGCAGUUUGCUGCUGCUAUUUAUAGCACAAGUGAAGGAAUUGUAGCACAAGUAACACUGACACCUGUGCUGCCCUUUUUGGUGCCAGAGUGUGUGAAGGAAGGCUGCUAUCUGGUCUUGAAAUCCAUCGAAGCAGCCUUAUUCCCAGACAUCACACAGCCUUGCCAAAAUGGCGGUUGGCACGAAGGGUCUAGAGGCAGCGACUUGAAAUAGAAUUUUCGACUUACCAUACCAGAAAUGGUUUUAUUUCCAACAAACAUUGUUGGGUGUCCUCCAGGCGAAAAGCUGCAACAUACAGCUUUAAUGUGCCUGAAGGCCCUCGCAUGGCAGCAGUAAGUCUCCUAUCGGCAAACGUAUAACAUACGAAACACUAAUCUAUUAGGAUAUACAUUUACAAUGUAGCAAAAGAAAUGUGUGAAAUCUAAAGAAACAUUCAUCUUUUCAGAUAAUUAUAUAGUAUUUGUAAAAAAAAUUCUUCUUAAUGCACAACAAAGCUAAGAUGCAUAUUAUAUGUAUUAUACAUCCCAAAAGAUCACAUUUCAAAAAUAAGCACUACAGACAUGUCUAGCAUGUACACUCGCCCACAAAAUGUUACAGGGUGCGCAAGCGUGUGGCAAAACGACCCUUCUUCCCUUCUAGCUGUGCACCCAUGGUAUCGAGUUUGCACGCAUGCGCGUCCCUCUGAGACUGCAAGCGUGCAUGUUUCUGCACUUCCUCCUUGUGCGCCGGCGAUAUCCGAAUGUAGCCGUGAGGUGCCCCUCUUGCGAUGGGCACGAAACUAUGUGAAGCCUGAGCUUGCGCGUGCCGCUGCGGCUGCUUUUUGUCGAGUCACGAGCGCCGACGCAUACGGCCCAGUGGCGAACCCUGCAAGUAAUUUUCUUUUAAUGAGCUGCACCAUUUUGUGUCCAAUCUUUGUUGUUUCUUUUUAUGAAUGGGGCAUUCUCCCACAGAAGAGCAUGUCAGAAAAUGCCCCCUAUAGAAGGAGACAGUGUCAACUCCCAUUGAAGACCAGCAGUUAGGACACAUGGACCUGUGACAGAAAAGCUGCCGGAUGGAUCUGGGACAGCGACGCUGGCCUGUACUUUCCUAUCGUCUCCAUUAUCCAUGGCAACCUGCUACAAGUAAACAAAAGCUGAAGCGGCCUUCAAGUGUCAAGUGUGGAAAAAGAUGUUUUGCGGCAAUGGCUGUGACUGAAGACAACACAGGUGUGUAUGUGGUUUUCCAAUUCAAGCACAGAGGCCACGACUUUGAACUGGGUCGUGUUUUUCUGUCCAAGUCGGAAAGAGCUGCUAUUGCUGACAAGCUGCGAGAAGGCGUGUCCAUGGAUGCAGUACUGGAUAAUGUGCGGUCCAACGUGGAUGAGACAUUCCACCGCAUUAACCUGUUAAGCAAGCAGGAUCUCCGCAAAAUAAUGAGGGAUGCCAGAGUCUUGAAGACCGAGCGGCUGCACGAUAAUGACUAUGUGAGCGUGCAACUCUGGGUUGAGAGGAUGCAUAGUGAAAAGGAAAACCCAUUGCUCUUCUUUAAACACCAAGGACAACCUGACAAAAAGUGACAUUUUUUUAGAGAAAAAAAUGAGGACCUUUUGGAUGACAGAGAUUUUAUGCUAGUCAUCAUGACCACACCACAACAGGAGCUUUUCAAGAGGCUUGGAACUGAUCGUAUAUGUGUCGAUGGAACACAUGGAACAGCAGGUGAGCAGUACUAUAUAAAUGCCUUAAUAAUAAAAGCAAGAAAGAGGGAAUGCUGUCCAAGAAUAAUUGCAAUAGAUAUGAUGAGUAGUAUUCCUUCACACAUGA